rnacentral:rRNA from 1 species
AGAAUCAACGCUGGCGGCGUGCCUAACACAUGCAAGUCGAACGGGAAAGUGGAGCAAUCCAUGAGUAUAGUGGCGACCGGGUGAGUAACACGUGACUAACCUACCCUUGAGUGGGGGAUAACCUCGGGAAACCGGGGCUAAUACCGCAUAACAUCUUCGGGAUGAGAAGCUGAAGAUCAAAGGAGCAAUUCGCUUUCGGGAGGGGGUCGCGGCUGAUUAGCUAGUUGGCGGGUAACGGCCCACAAGGCUUUGAUCGGUA